rnacentral:rRNA from 1 species
AGCAUAUCAAUAAGCGGAGGAAAAGAAACUAACUAGGAUUCCCUUAGUAAUGGCGAACGAACAGGGAAGAGCUCAUAACCGAAUCCUGUGGCGUGAUGUCAUUAGGAAAUGUGGUGUAUGGGUGUCAUUAUGCAGUGUCUGUCUUGCUUUAAGUCCACGUGAUUGUGGCUUCUAGCCCAUGGAGGGUGUAAGGCCCGUAGAAGUGGGACGGAUAUUGUUUUACGGCACCCUUGAGUCGGGUUGUUUGGGAUUGCAGCCCAAAGUGGUGGUAAACUCCAUCAAAAGCUAAAUACAACACGAGUCCGAUAGCGAACAAGUACCAUGAGGUAAAGUUGAAAAGAACUUUGAAGAGAGAGUUCAACAGUACGUGAAACCGCUCAGAGGUAAGCGGGUAGAGCUGAAAGUUGCUUGAGAAUUGAUGUUUGCCGGUGUGGGCACGUUUGGUGGAUGACCUUCAUGGGCAUUGCUGGGCGUGUGCUGUUGUACCGGUUGGCUGUAUAUUCCAGGCAUGAAUCACGAUCGGCGAUACAUGUGAGUCUGUCAUUGGCUAGAGGUAGCCUGGAGAUCCUUGUGGUUUCUGGGUUUUUAUAAUGGUCAGUACGGAGCCUGCAUUUCGCUGAGCAUGGCGGUGCCAGUCCUUGUGACGCUCAAGUUGUCGUAUUUUAGUGACAUUUCUUUAUUUCUCUUUAGAGAAAUUUGGGAGUGCGUGCUGAUAUUGCGGUGGCCUCUGAGUUUGGUGCCAAUAAUCGUGAUUUUCCUGUAGGCUUUCUACCCGGCCCGUCUUGAAACACGGACCAAGGAGUCUAACAUGUGCGCGAGUCAUUGGGUUCUACGAAACCUAAAGGCGUAUUGAAAGAGAAGGUUCCCUUCGUUGGAACUGAGGUAUGAUCCGUGCUCCCUCGGGGGCGUGGCGCAAUACCGGCUUGUCUCAUGCUUUUUAAGUGAGGCAACGCAAGAGCGUACAUGAUGGUACCCGAAAGAUGGUGAACUAUGCUUGCAUAGGUUGAAGCCAGAGGAAACUCUGGUGGAAGACCGAAGCGAUUCUGACGUGCAAAUCGAUCGUCAAAUGUGAGUAUAGGGGCGAAAGACUAAUCGAACCAUCUAGUAGCUGGUUCCCUCCGAAGUUUCCCUCAGGAUAGCUGGCAUUCGUUAAACAAACAGUUUUAUCCGGUAAAGCGAAUGAUUAGAAGUAUUGGGGAUGAAAUGUCCUCAACUUAUUCUCAAACUUUAAAUGGGUAAGAUGUCUCACUCUCUUAAAUUAUGGAGUGGUGACAUUGAAUGUGAUUGCCUAGUGGGCCAUUUUUGGUAAGCAGAACUGGCGAUGUGGAAUGAACCAAAAGCGGUGGCUAAGGUGCCUAAGUGAGCGCUCAUGACAUACCACAAAAGGUGUUGGUUGAUAUAGACAGCAGGACGGUGGCCAUGGAAGUUGGAAUCCGCUAAGGAGUGUGUAACAACUCACCUGCCGAAUCAACCAGCCCUGAAAAUGGAUGGCGGUGGAGCGUUCGACCUAUGCCGCGCCGUUACUGCAAGCUUCGUGCAUGGAUGCGGUAACGUGUAGGAGGGUGACAUGGUAAGCGUAGAAGCUUCGGGUGUGAACUCGGGUGGAGCUGCCAUGUGUGCAGAUCUUGGUGGUAGUAGCAAGUAUUCAAGUGAGAUUCUUGAAGACCGACGUG